rnacentral:rRNA from 1 species
AUUGAACGCUGGCGGCAUGCUUUACACAUGCAAGUCGAACGGAAUCCAUUGACCGAUCCCUUCGGGGUGAAGUUGAGAAGAUUUAGUGGCGGACGGGUGAGUAACACGUGAGCAACCUGCCUUUCAGUGGGGAAUAACACAGGGAAACUUGUGCUAAUACCGCAUAACGUAGCGGGGUCGCAUGGCUCUGCUACCAAAGAUUUCAUCGGUGAGAGAUGGACUCGCGUCCGAUUAGGUAGUUGGUGAGGUAACGGCCCACCAAGCCGACGAUCGGUAGCCGGACUGAGAGGUUGAACGGCCACAUUGGGACUGAGACACGGCCCAGACUCCUACGGGAGGCAGCAGUGGGGAAUAUUGGGCAAUGGGGGAAACCCUGACCCAGCAACGCCGCGUGAAGGAAGAAGGCCUUCGGGUUGUAAACUUCUUUUAGUAGGGACGAAGAACGUGACGGUACCUACAGAAAAAGCAACGGCUAACUACGUG